rnacentral:tRNA from 1 species
GCGCCUGUAGCUCAAUUGGAUAGAGCGUCAGUCUUCGGAACUGAGCGUUGCAGGUUCAAGUCCUGCCAGGCGCG